UGGGGAAUAUUGGACAAUGGGCGAAAGCCUGAUCCAGCCAUGCCGCGUGUGUGAAGAAGGUCUUCGGAUUGUAAAGCACUUUAAGUUGGGAGGAAGGGCAGUAAGCGAAUACCUUGCUGUUUUGACGUUACCGACAGAAUAAGCACCGGCUAACUCUGUGCCAGCAGCCGCAGUAAUACAGAGGGUGCAAGCGUUAAUCGGAAUUACUGGGCGUAAAGCGCGCGUAGGUGGUUCGUUAAGUUGAAUGUGAAAGACCCGGGCUCAACCUGGGAACUGCAUCCAAAACUGGCGAGCUAGAGUAGGGCAGAGGGUGGUGGAAUUUCCUGUGUAGCGGUGAGAUGCGUAGAUAUAGGAAGGAAAACCAGUGGCGAAGGCGACCACCUGGGCUCAUACUGACACUGAGGUGCGAAAGCGUGGGGAGCAAACAGG
rnacentral:rRNA from 1 species